rnacentral:rRNA from 1 species
GCCCAGAGAGUGGUGCCCCUUUGUGGUCGGUGGACAGGUGGUGCAUGGUUGUCGUCAGCUCGUGUCGUGAGAUUGUUGGGUUAAGUCCCGCAACGAGCGCAACCCUUGUCAUUAGUUGCCAUCAUUUGGUUGGGCACUCUAAUGAGACUGCCGGUGACAAACCGGAGGAAGGUGGGGAUGACGUCAAGUCCUCAUGGCCCUUAUGGGUAGGGCUUCACACGUCAUACAAUGGUCGGUACAGAGGGUUGCCAACCCGCGAGGGGGAGCUAAUCCCACAAAGCCGAUCGUAGUCCGGAUCGCAGUCUGCAACUCGACUGCGUGAAGUCGGAAUCGCUAGUAAUCGUGGAUCAGCAUGUCACGGUGAAUACGUUCCCGGGUCUU